rnacentral:misc_RNA from 1 species
GUGAAUCAUCGAAUCUUUGAACGCACAUUGCGCCCUUUGGUAUUCCGAAGGGCAUGCCUGUUCGAGCGUCAUUAUCAACCCUCAAGCCUGGCUUGCUGUUGGACCAUUCGUCGGUAUCAGACGGGUCUCAAAGAUAAUGACAGAGUCGUGUUGGACCCUAGAUGCAACGAGCUUUCAUAGCACGCAUUGAAGUGGCCGGGCACUCUUGUCUCAACCCUCAUUUUACAAGGUUGACCUCGGAUCAGGUAGGAAUACCCGCUGAACUUAAGCAUAUCAAUAAGCGGAGGA